UACGGAGGUGGCAAGCGUUAUUCGGAAUUAUUGGGCGUAAAGGGCGCGUAGGCGGUUAGAUGUGUCAAAGGUGAAAUCCCUCGGCUCAACUGAGGAACUGCCUUUGAAACUGUCUGGCUUGAGGCCGGGAGAGGGUAGCGGAAUUCCCAGUGUAGCGGUGAAAUGCGUAGAUAUUGGGAGGAACACCAGUGGCGAAGGCGGCUACCUGGACCGGUUCUGACGCUGAGGCGCGAAAGCGUGGGUAGCAAACAGG
rnacentral:rRNA from 1 species